GAAACAUUUAGCAUUUUAGCAAUACAGCCUGUGCUGUGUGGAAUUUGUCUGGUCCCAAGCAUAUGGGCAAUACCCAGCUCUAGAUAUUAGUUGGAAUUUAUUUCUUGCAAUGCACUUUAUAACUGUACCAUUCUUGCAGGAAGGUUUGGGAUGAUCUCCUCUUUGUGCUGAGUGGUAACUUAUGUCACACACAUGGGACAUCAUGACAACCUUUUAACCAGCAGUUUCAGUGGAGCCAUGGAGUAAGUCCAGCACAGCUCACUACCUGUUUUCUGUCUCUGGAAGAAAGACUUGACACUCACCAUGAUAGGAUUCAAAAUAUUUGAUAAGGGAAUUUACUUCCUCCAGGAUUCGGAUCUCCAGGGUUCUCUUUCCCAUUCCAAAAUCUCGCAGUGUGGACAAGACCCUACCUCUGUCAGCGACUGGAACGGCUUUUUCAGGUCCACCACGUUCAAGUUUCCGAUCAGAGGAAGAGGCCGUGGCCCAGGAGGCAAACUGCAAACCGACUUCUUCGAGCUGGUGAGAAAGUAAAGAAGAGCAAACAGCCCUGCUGCCAAACAGAGCAGCGAGCUGGAGCCCACGUA